UACGGAGGGUGCAAGCGUUAUCCGGAUUCACUGGGUUUAAAGGGUGCGUAGGUGGCUGUUUAAGUCAGUGGUGAAAUACAGCCGCUCAACGGUUGAGGUGCCAUUGAUACUGAAUAGCUUGAAAUAAUUGGAGGCUGCCGGAAUGGAUGGUGUAGCGGUGAAAUGCAUAGAUAUCAUCCAGAACACCGAUUGCGAAGGCAGGUGGCUACGAUUUAUUUGACACUGAGGCACGAAAGCAUGGGGAGCAAACAGG
rnacentral:rRNA from 1 species